GCUAUAACCAUACUAUGACUGAAUGACCUGCCACGUCGUUUCUCAGGCGUCGAAAAACUGACAUGACACUUGUCACCACAAACCUGCCGGUCUAGCUGUUGCAAGCAGCUCAGGUGUGGGGUGUCUAACCCAAUAUAGAUCUAUACACAACUAUCACGUUCUCCCUACAAGAGACUCUGGUUAUAACUACCAGGAAUUUUAACCCGUACUCUAGGAGUACUUGAGAAGAAUGUCUCACAAUUUAAGUUAACAAGUUUACGUGUGGUGUGCGUGAGUGUAAAACCUUUUUCUGUGGGAAUAAAACCUUCCGAAAUGUGUUUGUUGUGUUAAUGGAAACAUNUACUUGAGAAGAAUGUCUCACAAUAUAAGUUAACAAGUUUACAUGUGGUGUGCGUGAGUGUAAAACAUUUUUCUGUGGGAAUAAAACCUUCCGAAAUGUGUUUGUUGUGUUAAUGGAAACAUAAACC
rnacentral:lncRNA from 1 species